rnacentral:rRNA from 1 species
CCUACGGGCGGCUGCAGUGGGGAAUAUUGGACAAUGGGGGCAACCCUGAUCCAGCCAUGCCGCGUGUGUGAAGAAGGCCCUCGGGUUGUAAAGCACUUUCAGUGAGGAAGAACGCCUGGUGGUUAAUACCCAUCAGGAAAGACAUCACUCACAGAAGAAGCACCGGCUAACUCCGUGCCAGCAGCCGCGGUAAUACGGAGGGUGCGAGCGUUAAUCGGAAUUACUGGGCGUAAAGCGCGCGUAGGUGGCUUGAUAAGCCGGUUGUGAAAGCCCCGGGCUCAACCUGGGGACGGCAUCCGGAACUGUCAAGCUAGAGUGCAGGAGAGGAAGGUAGAAUUCCCGGUGUAGCGGUGAAAUGCGUAGAGAUCGGGAGGAAUACCAGUGGCGAAGGCGGCCUUCUGGACUGACACUGACACUGAGGUGCGAAAGCGUGGGUAGCAAACAGGAUUAGAUACCCCAGUAGUC